UUGAUUAAGCACCUACUCAGU
rnacentral:miRNA from 1 species